rnacentral:lncRNA from 10 species
AUGAUGGAAGGAGAAAGAUGCAAAUUCUCAAGUAUACCUUAUGCAGCUUCUGAUAAUUGAGUCAUUGGAAAAGUGCCACAGGACCAUCUGGCUGGCUGCAUGGAAGAGUAUGCUGACCUGGACUAACAGCCACACAGGUAAUUCUGAUGGGAACAUCCAAUUAAGAACAUAUCCAUGAGGUAUGCCAAGGGACCACCUAUAAAAAUAUGGAAAUCUGGCCCAGAUCAGAUGCUAUCUAUACUUAUGUUAAGCAUCUUCAGAGACACCAUGGAUGAUCUUCAUUCUGAAUCCCAGGAAGAAUUCUGGAAAGCAAUCACCUACCUCUUGAUAUUUUCUCCGUCAGAUAUUACCUAAAGGUUUUUAUUUUUAAUUUACUCUCAUCUAGACACAGUUCUUUUUGGGGUUGAGAAAAGUUUAUUUUCAGAACUAAAAAUUAGCUUUUUGCCCCAGCAAAAAGAUGAGAUGAUAUUUUCAAGGAAAUGUCUCCCUACAAAUUUGACAGUUUUUUUUUUUUAAUUGCUUAGUGAAUACUGAAUUCACUGCUAAAAAUAAAGGCAUGCCUUUUGGUAGUUUAUGAAGAGCAUGAAACAAAGUUUGAUGUUUUUUGGACUGUUAAGCCACUGUUACAUUUAUAAGACACCCAACACAUAAAUAAAAAAAAAUAUUUCAAGUCUGUAC